rnacentral:sRNA from 1 species
AUGUUUUUUAGUACACUAGUAAAAUUUUGAAUAGGUCAUUUUCUUCAUUGGCCAGUGUUUAGGUGAUAUUUUGAUCUAAAAAUUUUAUUUUAGUAUACUUUUUACAAUUCUGAUACAAAAGUUUCCAUUCAAUGGGUUCAUGUACCAGUACUUAAUUGCUGUGUAAUAAAGUGUAUGCAUCAUUAUUUAACAGUAUAAAUACCUGCAAGGUGAUUAAGAAUUGUUAUGAUACUGUAGACAGGGAAACAUUUGCCCCUGUUUUAUCAUAGCCCUUUUUCACCCUCAUUGUCGGCAGGUGAAUUCUAAUGGCUCAAAUUAUCUUUCUUUAAACACAACUGUGUCUACUGAAUUCUAGACAGUGUGUAAAUCUAGACGGGCGAAAAUUACACAGGGCAAAAAUAACCUUCUAUAAUACAUACAGUGCUAUCAUUGAUAUUGAGUGUUAAGAUAAAUAAUUAAAGCGGCCAAAACUGAUAAUGAGGAAAGAAAGCAUCUCAACUGAUAUUCUAAAUUGGUAUUCAAUAUAUUGAAAGUGCAUUAAUGGAACAAAAAUCAUCAUGUUUGCUCAAUUUCUUCAUGUAAAAAAUGCUGCUCAAAGAAAAGCUUGCUGGAAAGUACCUGUAAAAUCAUGUCCCUGUCUUACUCAAUGUAUGUAUUUAUGCCACUUCUAUAAAUGAUAAAAGAGAGUUGUGAAUAUUCUUAUUUUAUCCCAUAUCAUAUUGCAUGGGUUUUCAUGUUUAAUCCAAAGGGAACUUUUUAAUAAAGAAAUAUUUGUAUCCCUGUAAUUCCAGAAGGAACAAUCCUUUAUUAGACAUGUUCCAUCCUUGUUAUGUAAAAAUUGGUGUUAUUUGUUCUUUAUGUUAUAUUUUACGUAUAUGUUAGCUCUCUCCACUUGUUAAUCAGGUCAUUCCUAUACAUAUUGGCCGAUUAGGUUCUCUGGCCAAUUACACAGUAAUCAAGUACAAUAUAUGUAUUUGUUAAGCAAUGAACCUGUGUUCUGUUCUUGCCGGAACUGAAGAAUUUUUUAUACACAUUGAAAUAAAAUAUCAUUAAACAG